GAUGAACGCUGGCGGCGUGCCUAAUACAUGCAAGUCGAGCGAACAGACGAGGAGCUUGCUCCUCUGACGUUAGCGGCGGACGGGUGAGUAACACGUGGAUGACCUACCUAUAAGACUGGGAUAACUUCGGGAAACCGGAGCUAAUACCGGAUAAUAUAUUGAACCGCAUGGUUCAAUAGUGAAAGACGGUUUUGCUGUCACUUAUAGAUGGAUCCGCGCCGCAUUAGCUAGUUGGUAAGGUAACGGCUUACCAAGGCAAUGAUGCGUAGCCGACCUGAGAGGGUGAUCGGCCACACUGGAACUGAGACACGGUCCAGACUCCUACGGGAGGCAGCAGUAGGGAAUCUUCCGCAAUGGGCGAAAGCCUGACGGAGCAACGCCGCGUGAGUGAUGAAGGUCUUCGGAUCGUAAAACUCUGUUAUUAGGGAAGAACAAAUGUGUAAGUAACUAUGCACGUCUUGACGGUACCUAAUCAGAAAGCUACGGCUAACUACGUG
rnacentral:rRNA from 1 species